UACGGCCAUAUCACGUUGAAACAUCGGUUCUCGUCUGAUCACCAAUGUUAAGCAACGAUGAACCUGGUCAGUACUCAGAUGUAUGUUCACUCGGGAAUACCAGGUGCUGUAAG